rnacentral:snRNA from 1 species
GUGCUCCUUUGGCAGCACAUAUACUAAAACUGGAACGACACAGAGAAGAUUAGCAUGGCCCCUGUGCAAGGAUAACACACAAAUUUGUGAAGCGUUCCAUAUUUUA